rnacentral:rRNA from 1 species
UACGGAGGGUGCGAGCGUUGUCCGGAAUCACUGGGCGUAAAGGGCGCGUAGGCGGCUGGGGAAGUCGGCGGUGAAAGCCCGGAGCUCAACUCCGGGUCGGCCGUCGAGACUCCUCGGCUCGAGCUCACUAGAGGCAGAUGGAAUUCCGGGUGUAGCGGUGGAAUGCGUAGAGAUCCGGAAGAACACCGGUGGCGAAGGCGGUCUGCUGGGGUGAGGCUGACGCUGAGGCACGAAAGCUAGGGGAGCAAACAGG